CCAAUAGCGUAUAUUAAAGUUGUUGCAGUUAAAAAGCUCGUAGUUGAAUUUCGGGAUCAGUGCGCUGGUCGUGCCUUGGUAUGUACUGGUGUUACUGGUUCCUACCUUCUGACGAACCGUCAUGUCAUUAAUUUGGUGUGGCGGGGAAUCAGGACUGUUACUUUGAAAAAAUUAGAGUGUUUAAAGCAGGCUCGCGCUUGAAUACAUUAGCAUGGAAUAAUGAAAUAGGACGUUUGAUCCUAUUUUGUUGGUUUCUAGGAUUGACGUAAUGAUUAAUAGGGAUAGUUGGGGGCAUUAGUAUUCAAUUGUCAGAGGUGAAAUUCUUGGAUUUAUUGAAGACUAACUACUGCGAAAGCAUUUGCCAAGGAUGUUUUCAUUAAUCAAGAACGAAAGUUAGGGGAUCGAAGACGAUCAGAUACCGUCGUAGUCUUAACCAUAAACUAUGCCGACUAGGGAUCGGAUGAUGUUAAUUUUUUAAUGACUCAUUCGGCGCCUUACG
rnacentral:rRNA from 1 species